rnacentral:rRNA from 1 species
UACGUAGGUGGCGAGCGUUAUCCGGAUUUACUGGGUGUAGAGGGCGCGUAGGCGGGGAUGCAAGUCAGAUGUGAAAUCCAUGGGCUCAACCCAUGAACUGCAUUUGAAACUGUAUUUCUUGAGUGCUGGAGAGGCAGACGGAAUUCCUUGUGUAGUGGUGAAAUGCGUAGAUAUAAGGGAGAACACCAGUGGCGAAGGCGGUCUACUGGACAGUAACUGACGCUGAGGCGCGAAAGCGUGGGGAGCAAAC